rnacentral:rRNA from 1 species
UACGGGGGGGGUAAGCGUUGUUCGGAAUUACUGGGCGUAAAGGGCUCGUAGGCGGCCAACUAAGUCAGACGUGAAAUCCCUCAGCUUAACUGGGGAACUGCGUCUGAUACUGGAUGGCUUGGAUCCGGGAGAGGGAUGCGGAAUUCCGGUGUAGCGGUGAAAUGCGUAGAUAUCGGAAGGAACAUCAGUGGCGAAAGCGGCUUCCUGGACCAGUACCGACGUUCAGGCACGAAAGCGUGGGGAGCAAACAGG